UACAGAGGGGGCGAGCGUUGUUCGGAAUUACUGGGCGUAAAGGGCGCGUAGGCGGCCUGCUAAGUCGAACGUGAAAUCCCUGGGCUCAACCCAGGAACUGCGUCCGAUACUGGUUGGCUUGAAUCCGGGAGAGGGAUGCGGAAUUCCAGGUGUAGCGGUGAAAUGCGUAGAUAUCUGGAGGAACACCGGUGGCGAAGGCGGCAUCCUGGACCAACACUGACGCUGAGGAGCGAAAGCCAGGGGAGCAAACGGG
rnacentral:rRNA from 1 species